UCUGGGAAGGGAAGGGAAGUCCCCAGGACAGCUGGGGCAGGGCUGGAGCUGUGUGUUGGUUGCUAGGAGCUGCUGGCGUGUUUACCCUGGCUCUGCCUGCGCCUGCUGUGAAGGCAGCUCACCUGCAGAGAGGUGGACGGAGCCCUCCCCAGGCACGCUUGCUUUUGGGGAGUGGAGGUGCUGGAGAGGAGACCAGAAGAGCCAAGAGCCUUAGUCAGUGUGCAAAGGGGGCGCCUGAGGUCUCAAACCAUCCCCUUGCUGCUGCACUUCUCCAAGCUUUUCAUCACAGCCCGCUCAACCCACGUUGCUUGGGGAAUGUGGGUGAACGCUGCGGGAGGGGUGGAGCAGGCCGGCGUCAUGGGGGUUUUGGCACGCAAGGAUUUGAUUUGAACUGGAGAGCGUGCGAGCCAGGUCCCUGUGUUGGAGCAUCCCUAGACCGCGGGAGAGGCUCACGCUGGAUCUGCAGCCAGACUUCUCUGCCUGGGCCCAGCUCUCUCAUGCCGUGACCAUCCCAUCCGUUCUGCCUCUCACCCCACCCGGGGCAUAAGGCAGAGGUCGGUUGUCACCAUCCAAGCCUGUCUCUUUAAUGCACUGGAGUUUGUGUCAUUUGCUGCCUGUGUUGCUGUGAAGGGCCUGUCUUCCUUCAGCCUCGAGGCUGUUGGGAAGGCUGUUGCCUAGCACGCUCACAGCCUGGCCCAGGUGAGUCCCCCUUCCCUCCCCCCAGCGCUGUUUGCACAGGUGAGGGAGCUCCAGGAUCUCACCAGGAUCUCUGUUCUGUCUGACUGCUCCGCUCUGGACGUCCAGCACCAGUCUCAAAUGUUGGCAUCAAGGUUGCAUUGGCUCGCACACUAAUGGUGUCUGAGAGCGCUGUUCUUGGUUCCAGAUGCACCCUUCGAGCAGGCCUGGAGAAUCUCUGUUAACUUGGCAGAUGUUCUCUAAAGCAAGGCAGUCCCAGACACUGGUGCUGCCCGUGUGCUAGCGGCACAGAGGUGUGGCAAAGGAGACGUGCUGCUAGCUCGCCAGGCGGCGUGGCCCUGGGCUACUGGGUGAGUCCCACGCGGUUCAGCAGUAACGAUGGGACAGUGCAUCUGUCCCAUUUCCCGCGACAAGCACUGCAGCGUCAGGCAUUCCCUUUCCCCAGCACCUCACCCUGCUUGCUCUCACAAAGCCUUGCUAAAGGUUACUUUGGAGGGGAAUAAAAAAGUAGAUUUAAUUCUUUUGUUGGAGGCGUCGCUCUAGCACAACCACUAAGAUGGGAGCAGCAGGUUGUAGCGGGGGCCACCCACCUAGGCAUGAUCAGAGCCCCGGGGGAAAUCACUUAGACACACAAAGGUGCUCUGAAAACAGUCGCUGGACACAGGUUACCUGGUGUGCAUGCAGCAAAACUCUCGUGAAACGCCCUCAGCUUGGAAGGCCCUUGCUGUAGGAAGGCCAUAACGCGAAAAAUCAGCCGCCGUUCAGAACUGCUGAGUAACCGACGCCCUGGAAACCACAGCCUGCAAUGGAGACGACAGCGUAAAAUAUCGAGGUGCUGUCAGGCCAUUAAUCUCCCGUCCUCUGCGCAUCCCCUGCAUGAGGAAGAGACUGAAAUAAAAUGCUAGUCUGAGCAUG